AACAACCUCAUAUGUUUGUCUUUUCAGCCUUCAGACUUUUACUGCAUGUCUGUCUUCAAUUAGUUGGGUUUCCGGUGGUGCUAUGUAGCUUAUAAUUUUCUACUAUCAUUUCGAAUUAUCUGCCAUAGUGUUCUUGCACCUGCUAGUUAUGACAAAAAUCUAGAUUGCAUGUGGUCGUAUUACUGAAGAAGUCUUCCGAUUCAAAGCCUAAACAAUUUGGGAUAUAAGAUUUUCCGCUUUGUUAUGAACAUGUGGUGCAUUAGUGAUGUAUAAUUUCCAUUAUUGGAUGGUAUUAACGAGAUGGUCGUUCAUUAGUUUGACAGGUUUCCUUUGUUUGUGCAGCUAUGACUUAAAUAGUACCUAACCAUCCCAUUUUAUAGGCUAUUUGUUGGAUGAUUAGAAUAUUUGAUUUGUGUGUUUUUGAAGUGUGGUCCAUUGUAGCGAAAUGACACACUGUACAGAUGGAGUACAAAAGCCUUGCGAGCAUACAAGUUUUGGUUUAUAACAACUUAAAGAUUUAGCUUAAUCAUCACAGGUCCCAGGGCAGAAUUCAUGGGUUGUGGCCGCGAGCAUGUUGUAAAGUUUAAGUGGUCUGGUAUGGAAGUUCUUCUUCAUCAGACUGCUGCCCAUGCCUCUGAAAGAUUUGGAUUUUAGGCGAAAACUAUGAAAAAGAUUGUGCUGAGGCUACAAUGCCAGAGCUGCAAACAUGUCUCCCAACACCCAAUUAAGAUAUCUGAUGUGGUUGAUUAGGAAGUCUGCAAGCUGGAUGAAAAGUUCAAGGAAGGGAGUCAUGUUCAAGUUC